UGUAUUUGGAGCAAGAGAAACAUCAUGAAUACGCUAUACAUUGCUGGAAUUAUUUGUCAGCUGGCAAGCUUUGCAGGCGUCUCUUAUGCUCAGUGUGACCCGACAGGGUAUCCUAAAUGUCUAGCCGGGGUUCAACUUCCGCAAGGGGAAACAACAAGAGAUGUUAAUUGCACAGCUUUGAGACAGGUAGCAACCUGUCUUGAACCAUAAAAAGUUCUUGUGCAUCAAAUACAGACUUCCAGCGCAUUUUACAGACAAUCAAUAUAACAUGUGGUGAUUCUAGCUGCGACUUAAUCAAGUGCUUGACAGACAUGGGAAUAGAUUUUGGAAGUUUACAAAGCGAUCCAGAGAAAGUUAACUGCGAGAGUUUUCGUGCAGCGCAGCCUUGCUUUGAAAGCCAAAAGAAUGUUUGUGAGGGAAACACAAUCUUCGAAACAGCUGCAGGUUAUAUUCCGCAAUUAGAGUCAAGGUGUGG